AGCCCCUGCACCGCCUCACGCAGCCCUCAGCAGGCAGCAUUCAAACAAUACCAACUAAUUUUAAAUUGUAUUCUCUAUAACCUUGGAGACAGCUGCGGAAUGGUGAUCGUGGUCCAGGCAAAUGAAAGCCGGUAACACACAACUGAAAGAACAUAUUUAGAAAGACAAAAAGACAUGGAUGAACCGAAAGGCCCCUGUUCUUCAACUUUCAGCUUUGCACAGGGCUGCAGUUUCCUGGCUUAGCACAUCAGGAGACCAUGGUGCUUCUACCCUGCCAGGGGACAACUUCUGCUCCUCCUGGAGACUGAAAUUGCAACGUUACAGGUGUUUCUGGUACCCUUGGCCCACAGGUAGCACAUCCACAAAAGUCAAGUUUUGAUCUGUCAGAUCAGUAGCUUGAAUCUUGGGAUUCAACCUCCUCACCAAAGACAGAUGAGAAGUUCAGAUGGGGACACCCCUCCCACACUGAACCACACGGCCACUUCUAUCUCCUUUUUCCACUAAGUAGUAAUGGCUACAGAAGACACCAGUUGCUGCACCCUCAUAAUCUGCUUCAAGGUACACUUCUUGUCACCAGCAAAACAAAUGGAAGGCAAAUUCUGUCACACAGACUGUGCUGAUUCAUCUGCAGUAAGUAGGACUCAUUUGUCAGGUCAUCCAGACAUGAAGGUGCUCCUAGUGGUUGAAGCCUGAAAGGUUAUUUUUUCCUGCCUGGAGAACAUGAAGGAAGGGCAAAGUUGGUUACCUCUCUUUCUGAGAGCUAGCUUGGUUCCCAUGCUAAGAUUAAAGAGCAGAAUAUGUAAAGAUUUGCAUGAUGAGUUCACACCUCAAUUAGGAAAGCAUAAGAGAGCAGCAGAGUUAUGCUCAUCACUUCUGGAAAAAAAAAAAAAAAAAGUCUUCAUCACUCACCAAGACCUUCCUAGAGCAAGUUUCUAACUCAUCAACAGCGCAGUCCCUCCCUUACUCUGUGCACAUCCUGAUUUUGUGAAUGCUGAAUUUGUGC